UUCGGAUCCCACCCCUGACUUUCAUGGGAGCAGGGCUGCGGGUAUUUCAAUCGGGCUUUGAAAACCUCUUUCUGAACCUCUGAGCCCAGAUAUCUGCUGAGCGAAUGACUGAGUGAGUCAGCAAAUGAAUGAGGUCCUCACCAGCACCGGGAAGGCUCUAGGGCCCGAGUCUUCUCAUUGCUGAUGAGGAAGCUGUGGUCUCUGGGAGGACGGACCCGUGAACUGCAGGAUUUCACAAGUUGCUGCAGACUGAAGCCCAGCAGGGAGACCAGGGCUGGGAGGCGGACCUGGAGGUCUCCGAACACUGGGCCCAGCGUCUCCUGGAAGGAAAGCUGUGUCAGUCACGUGACGGGUCUUCAGCAAUGUCUACUACCCUGAGCAGCCCUGGGGCGUGUCUGAGGUUUAAGAAUAAAAAGAGACUGGCUCCUAUGUAGCGGUGAGGAAACUGAGGCCCACAAGAGGCAGGGCCUGGCUCCUCACAGCGGUCGUUAAGGAACCAUAUAAAGCUCCCAUGUGGCUGCACCUCUGUGAGUGCCACCGGCCCUGCUGCACAGACCCCAGGCUGGUGGCCCACAGCUCCAGGGCCUGUGCUGAAAGUGCACUGGGCCUGCGUUACCCAGGAAUGUCACUUUCUCUUGGACACCUUUACAGGAGCCAGGCACUGUCCUAGGGGCUUACAGUCUUUAUUUGGGAGAGACAAAUAAAAUGCAUGUGGCUAUGA